rnacentral:tRNA from 1 species
GAGAUUUAAUGUUUAAGAAUAAGCUUCUAACUUAAUCCUUGAGCGGUUAAAUUCCGUUCAAAUCUCU